rnacentral:rRNA from 1 species
AUUGAACGCUGGCGGCAGGCCUAACACAUGCAAGUCGAGCGGCAGCGGGAAAGUAGCUUGCUACUUUUGCCGGCGAGCGGCGGACGGGUGAGUAAUGCCUGGGGAUCUGCCCAGUCGAGGGGGAUAACUACUGGAAACGGUAGCUAAUACCGCAUACGCCCUACGGGGGAAAGCAGGGGACCUUCGGGCCUUGCGCGAUUGGAUGAACCCAGGUGGGAGUAGCUAGUUGGUGAGGUAAUGGCUCACCAAGGCGACGAUCCCUAGCUGGUCUGAGAGGAUGAUCAGCCACACUGGAACUGAGACACGGACCAGACUCCUACGGGAGGCAGCAGUGGGGAAUAUUGCACAAUGGGGGAAACCCUGAUGCAGCCAUGCCGCGUGUGUGAAGAAGGCCUUCGGGUUGUAAAGCACUUUCAGCGAGGAGGAAAGGUUGGUAGCUAAUAACUGCCAGCUGUGACGUUACUCGCAGAAGAAGCACCGGCUAACUCCGUGCCAGCCGCCGCCGUAAAAC